rnacentral:rRNA from 1 species
GAUGAACGCUGGCGGCGUGCCUAAUACAUGCAAGUCGAGCGAACGGACGAGAAGCUUGCUUCUCUGAUGCUAGCGGCGGACGGGUGAGUAACACGUGGAUAACCUACCUAUAAGACUGGGAUAACUUCGGGAAACCGGAGCUAAUACCGGAUAAUAUUUUGAACCGCAUGGUUCAAAAGUGAAAGACGGUCUUGCUGUCACUUAUAGAUGGAUCCGCGCUGCAUUAGCUAGUUGGUAAGGUAACGGCUUACCAAGGCAACGAUGCAUAGCCGACCUGAGAGGGUGAUCGGCCACACUGGAACUGAGACACGGUCCAGACUCCUACGGGAGGCAGCAGUAGGGAAUCUUCCGCAAUGGGCGAAAGCCUGACGGAGCAACGCCGCGUGAGUGAUGAAGGUCUUCGGAUCGUAAAACUCUGUUAUUAGGGAAGAACAUAUGUGUAAGUAACUGUGCACAUCUUGACGGUACCUAAUCAGAAAGCCACGGCUAACUACGUGCCAGCAGCCGCGGUAAUACGUAGGUGGCAAGCGUUAUCCGGAAUUAUUGGGCGUAAAGCGCGCGUAGGCGGUUUUUUAAGUCUGAUGUGAAAGCCCACGGCUCAACCGUGGAGGGUCAUUGGAAACUGGAAAACUUGAGUGCAGAAGAGGAAAGUGGAAUUCCAUGUGUAGCGGUGAAAUGCGCAGAGAUAUGGAGGAACACCAGUGGCGAAGGCGACUUUCUGGUCUGUAACUGACGCUGAUGUGCGAAAGCGUGGGGAUUAAACAGGAUUAGAUACCCUGGUAGUCCACGCCGUAAACGAUGAGUGCUAAGUGUUAGGGGGUUUCCGCCCCUUAGUGCUGCAGCUAACGCAUUAAGCACUCCGCCUGGGGAGUACGACCGCAAGGUUGAAACUCAAAGGAAUUGACGGGGACCCGCACAAGCGGUGGAGCAUGUGGUUUAAUUCGAAGCAACGCGAAGAACCUUACCAAAUCUUGACAUCCUUUGACAACUCUAGAGAUAGAGCUUUCCCCUUCGGGGGACAAAGUGACAGGUGGUGCAUGGUUGUCGUCAGCUCGUGUCGUGAGAUGUUGGGUUAAGUCCCGCAACGAGCGCAACCCUUAAGCUUAGUUGCCAUCAUUAAGUUGGGCACUCUAAGUUGACUGCCGGUGACAAACCGGAGGAAGGUGGGGAUGACGUCAAAUCAUCAUGCCCCUUAUGAUUUGGGCUACACACGUGCUACAAUGGACAAUACAAAGGGCAGCGAAACCGCGAGGUCAAGCAAAUCCCAUAAAGUUGUUCUCAGUUCGGAUUGUAGUCUGCAACUCGACUACAUGAAGCUGGAAUCGCUAGUAAUCGUAGAUCAGCAUGCUACGGUGAAUACGUUCCCGGGUCU